rnacentral:rRNA from 1 species
UACGUAGGUGACAAGCGUUGUCCGGAUUUACUGGGCGUAAAGAGCGCGCAGGCGGUCGAUCAAGUCGAGUGUGAAAGCCCCCGGCUCAACUGGGGAGGUCAUUCGAUACUGAUCGACUCGAAGGCAGGAGAGGUAGUGGAAUUCCGGUGUAGUGGUGAAAUGCGUAGAUAUCGGGAGGAACACCAGUGGCGAAGGCGACUACCUGGCCUGUUCUUGACGCUGAGGCGCGAAAGCUAGGGGAGCAAACGGGG